rnacentral:rRNA from 1 species
GUCGACCGGUAGAGAGAAGCUUGCUUCUCUUGAGAGCGGCGGACGGGUGAGUAAAGCCUAGGAAUCUGCCUGGUAGUGGGGGAUAACGUUCGGAAACGGACGCUAAUACCGCAUACGUCCUACGGGAGAAAGCAGGGGACCUUCGGGCCUUGCGCUAUCAGAUGAGCCUAGGUCGGAUUAGCUAGUUGGUGGGGUAAUGGCUCACCAAGGCGACGAUCCGUAACUGGUCUGAGAGGAUGAUCAGUCACACUGGAACUGAGACACGGUCCAGACUCCUACGGGAGGCAGCAGUGGGGAAUAUUGGACAAUGGGCGAAAGCCUGAUCCAGCCAUGCCGCGUGUGUGAAGA